rnacentral:lncRNA from 1 species
AAUAUUGUUUAUACUUCAUUGACAGAUAUCAGUUCAUUAUGUUAUACUGCAGUAGAGAAAAUUAGGUGCCUUCCAGUAGGGGACUUUCUAUUGCAUGGCAAUACUUCAUUCACUUGUUUUUUUUUAGCCAUAUAUUCUGACAGUGCAGAAUUCCUAGUCACCAUUCAAGUUGUGUUAAGAGUGUUUUUCAGAAAAUAUUUAAAGAAGUAUUUAAAUUAUCACAGUGUGAGGGCUGAGUGUGAAAUUAUUGUAUCUUGUUCUUUGUUCACAUACAGUUACAAGUUUUGCACCCAACCUUCGAAAUUAUAGCUUUAUUACAGUGUGUUCUUUAGUUUUGAUCUGUAGAUUGUUUCAUCUCUGAAAUAGUGCUUCUUGAUUCAUCUAAUUUGUUCAUUUUUGCAUUUUUACCCAUAUCUUUUUAAUAAUUUAGUAUGUUAUGCUCAAAUGAAUGAUUUUUCAGUUAUUUUUAUAUCAGUAUAUUAUAGUACUUUUUAAAUCCAACAAGUGAUCUUUUAACUCAGUCAGAUUCAUGGCUUGGUUGCUUUUUUACCAUAUUUCCAAAGGACAUUCUUAAUGGAUUUGAUUGGUUAGGGGCUCACAAGCUUUUCAGGUAUAAGGUUUCAUUGUAAGGGGUAUGGCAUAGGAUUUCAGUUUCAUUGUAAGGGGUAUGACAUAGGAUUUAAGGUAUAAGGUUUCAUUGUAAGGGGUAUGGCAAAGGAUUUCAGUUUCAUUGUAAGGGGUAUGACAUAGGAUUUAAGGUAUAAGGUUUCAUUGUAAGGGGUAUGGCAUAGGAUUUAAGGUAUAAGGUUUCAUUGUAAGGGGUAUGGCAAAGGAUUUCAGUUUCAUUGUAAGGGGUAUGACAUAGGAUUUAAGGUAUAAGGUUUCAUUGUAAGGGGUAUGGCAAAGGAUUUCAGUUUCAUUGUAAGGGGUAUGACAUAGGAUUUAAGGUAUAAGGUUUCAUUGUAAGGGGUAUGGCAAAGGAUUUCAGUUUCAUUGUAAGGGGUAUGACAUAGGAUUUAAGGUAUAAGGUUUCAUUGUAAGGGGUAUGGCAAAGGAUUUCAGUUUCAUUGUAAGGGGUAUGGCAUAGGAUUUCAGUUUCAUUGUAAGGGGUAUGGCAUAGGAUUUCAGUUUGAAUCGCAUUAUUUUCCUUCAUUCCUAAUUUUAAACUUUUUGUCUUGUUGCACAUUUCUGAGGAAAGAAGGCUAAAUAGAGAACUUCAUUGUUGCUGAAUAUUUAUGUAGUGCCAAAUUCCACUUAUUUUCACUCAGGGUAUACAGUGGGAGUUUUGAAAACGACAUGAUAACAAAAUAAUUGAAGCAUUUAGACAUGGUGUUAUAUUACAAGGUAGAUUCAACAAGUGCAUUCAGUAUGCUUUAACCUAAUCGCACUGUGAUAUGCAGUCCUGUAGAUAGUUGCUAUAAUUUUAACAUGUUUUGAAACAGACAAAGGUAAUGAAUCAUGUCUGUUUGAGCAUUAUACACUUAUUCAUUUAAGUAAGCCCAAAAAGAAUUACUUGAAGAAUUAAACAAUAACUGACUUUCAGUGCAUUGCUUUUGACCUGCUCUUACCAGAUAAUGAUUAUAAGAUUGAUAAGAAUGAAUGGGUAUUUAUCCUAGACCUGAAACACUUGGAUGGUUUUAGCUAGGUUUAAAAAGAAAAAUAAAUUGUUAGAAUGCCGGGGCAUGUGGCAGAGCGAUCAGCAUCAGGGAGAAUUUUUUUAUACUUGAGCACUUCAGUUUCGGUUGAAAUAUUGACAUGAAACUUGGCUUAUAGGCAGCUUAUGAUAAGUCCAAGAUUGGGAUUGCAUUUGGAUGCAGUGGAAUCCAGGUCAGUGUCACUGUCACUAAUA